CCUAACACAUGCAAGUCGAACGGUAACAGGAAGAAGCUUGCUUCUUUGCUGACGAGUGGCGGACGGGUGAGUAAUGUCUGGGAAACUGCCUGAUGGAGGGGGAUAACUACUGGAAACGGUAGCUAAUACCGCAUAACGUCGCAAGACCAAAGAGGGGGACCUUCAGGCCUCUUGCCAUCGGAUGUGCCCAGAUGGGAUUAGCUAGUAGGUGGGGUAACGGCUCACCUAGGCGACGAUCCCUAGCUGGUCUGAGAGGAUGACCAGCCACACUGGAACUGAGACACGGUCCAGACUCCUACGGGAGGCAGCAGUGGGGAAUAUUGCACAAUGGGCGCAAGCCUGAUGCAGCCACGCCGCGUGUAUGAAGAAGGCCUUCGGGUUGUAAAGUACUUUCAGCGGGGAGGAAG
rnacentral:rRNA from 1 species